CCUACGGGGGACUGCAGUGAGGAAUAUUGGUCAAUGGACGAGAUUCUGAACCAGCCAAGUAGCGUGAAGGAUGACUGCCCUAUGGGUUGUAAACUUCUUUUAUCAAGGAAUAAAACGCGGCACGUGUGCCUUUUUGCAUGUACUUUAUGAAUAAGGAUCGGCUAACUCCGUGCCAGCAGCCGCGGUAAUACGGAGGAUCCGAGCGUUAUCCGGAUUUAUUGGGUUUAAAGGUCGCGUAGAUGGGUUGUUAAGUCAGUGGUGAAAGUUUGCGGCUCAACCGUAAAAUUGCAAUUGAUACUGGCAGACUUGAGUACAGUUGAGGUAGGCGGAAUGCGUGGUGUAGCGGUGAAAUGCUUAGAUAUCACGAAGAACCCCGAUUGCGAAGGCAGCUUACUAAACUGUGACUGACAUUGAUGCUCGAAAGUGUGGGUAUCAAACAGGAUUAGAUACCCUUGUAGUC
rnacentral:rRNA from 1 species